GGAUCAUUAUUGAAUUGUAAAACUGGGGAGUUGCUUUCGAGCACUCCUCUAUAUUCUUAAUUCCUAAACACCUGUGAAUCGUUGCUGAGCUCGCUCAGUGGCACAAUCUUUUAUACACACUUUAUAGUUUUGAACGUAACAAAAACAAAAACAAAAAUAUAACUUUUGACAACGGAUCUCUUGGUUCUCCCAUCGAUGAAGAACGCAGCGAAAUGCGAUAAGUAAUGUGAAUUGCAGAAUUCAGUGAAUCAUCGAAUCUUUGAACGCACCUUGCGCUCCUUGGUAUUCCUUGGAGCAUGCCUGUUUGAGUGUCUUGAAUAUCUCUGCUCCUCAAUUUUUUAAUUAAAGUUGGUUUGGAGUCAGGUCCUUGGGCUUGCUUGCGGUUUGUUACGAACACAAGCUUGCCUUAAAUGUAUUAGCUGGAUUUCAGUAGAGUUGUUAAGUAACAUUGAAAACUCUCGUAAUAUGAAGUCUGCUUUCUAACCCGUCGCUUCUUUUUCUAAAAGUCGCACACAUAUUCAUUUCUUUGGCCUCAAAUCAGGUAGGACUA
rnacentral:misc_RNA from 1 species